CCUAGUUGUCCCACGUGGACGUUCCUCAGUAUUCGGCGAAGGCGGCUCAGAGCCGACCCCCGCGGGGCUCGCUGGAGAGGAGGGUCUGCUGGGAGCCACAGAUCCGCGGCCGCCCCGGCGUCCGCCUAGGGCGGGGGCGGGUCCGGCCCAUGGACGUCACAUCCGGUGUACACAGCCGGUCGGGGCGGUACGCAGGAGGCCGGGGCGCGACGCAGGAAAUGACUUAGAGGCCUUAGAAAUACAUCUGUGCAUUCUUGCUUCAGACUUUACAAUUAAGGGCCAACUCAUUCUGGAAGCACCUCUUAUUAAUAUUACAAGGAAACUGCUACCUCAGCCAACAAAAGGAAAAGAGGAGAAGACUUACAAUAACAAACGCGAGUUUUUAAAAAGAGUUGUUUUCAGAAAACAUUAGAGGAAAUCUGGAAAUUUUCAGCAUUAAGAAGAAGCUUUACAGGGAUAUUUGGGUUUGGCAGGCAGGCUCUGUCAAAAUUCUGCAGAGGUUUCAUCUUCUUAAAGGGCUCAGUGUGAAGUAAUUCUGUACUGCUUUUUAAAUUGCUGUUGAUCAGCAUGUGGAUUUUUGGGUUCUAACUUUUCUGGUAUAUUGAAGACACAUGAUAUUACAUAUAAUACCUUAUAUUACAUUUUUAAAACUUAAGUUAUUUUUCUGUCAUUGUAAAUAGAAGUAUCAAGAUAUUCUUGCAAGCAAUUAUAUGUAAACAUUUUUCUCAGCAAGCAUAUCUUUUUAUUAAGAGAGUGGAAUGCUAAACAGUUCUUACACAGCAUUUUGGAUACACUUUUAUUUUACGUCAAAGACCUUGCCAAUACUGAAAAAUUAACUAUGUAAACCUGUUGUCUUUCUCAAACCUAUGUUGAAUCUCAUGGUCACCUGCCUCAUGGAAAUGCCUUUUUUAAAAUGUAGGUUUGUAGCA
rnacentral:lncRNA from 1 species